rnacentral:tRNA from 1 species
UAUUUAUUAGUGUAUGAUGCACUUUGAUUUUUGAAGUCAAAAGAUUAAGUUUAAUUCUUAAAUUUAUAA